rnacentral:rRNA from 1 species
UACAGAGGGUGCGAGCGUUGUCCGGAAUCACUGGGCGUAAAGGGCGCGUAGGUGGCGACCCAAGUCGAUGGUGAAAGCUCGCCGCUCAACGGCGAGUCGGCCACCGAUACUGGGUUGCUGGAGCACUGUAGAGGCAGAGUGGAAUUCCGGGUGUAGCGGUGGAAUGCGUAGAGAGUCCGGAAGAACACCGGUGGCGAAGGCGGCCUGCUGGGCUAUGGCUGACACUGAGGCGCGACAGCGUGGGGAGCAAACAGG